ACUGUCAAUAACACUGACAGGAACUGAGACUGAUCUCGGAAGCUAAGUAGGGUCAGGCCUGGUUAGUACUUGGAUGGAAGACCACCUAGGAAGACUAGGUACUGUAGGUG
rnacentral:rRNA from 1 species